UUAGGUACAGAUGAGGAUGCUGACCUUUCUUCCCGCCUCCCUUGGAUAGACCUCCUCCCGCCCCGGUCAGCUGCUAAGUGGGAGUUGUCAAUAUACCAGUCGCCAGGAAGUCCCCGCCGCCACCCAGCCACCCAGGUGAAGAGUCCACACCACAGCCGCCACUCCUUCAGACACUACUACAGACACUCCUGCAGCUCCCACGGUGUCUGAGAAGGACCGCCCUGUGACCUUGAUGGAU